rnacentral:tRNA from 1 species
GCGCCCGUAGCUCAACUUGGAAAGAGCGUGAGACUCCGGAUCUCAAGGCUUGGGGUUCAAGUCCCCACGGGCGCGCCU